rnacentral:piRNA from 1 species
UUGCUGAAGUAUCGUUUCUGGCUGCUGCUGC